CCAAGGAGGAUAUAUAAAAAUUGCUGGAGUGGAGAGAGCGCGCUCCGACUGAAGCCUCCGUCCGCCAUCUUACCAGAGGCAGAAAGCGCGCUCGGCGCCGGCGGCACCGGCUCUCGCUGCUGUUUUCGUGAGUUGGUAUGCAGUGCAAUUUGAUGUGAGGGGCAUGUAAACACCAUCGAUUUGAUUAUGGUUGCCUCUUGCGUUGCCUACGGAUGUGCGAACAGGCUGAAGAAGCGUUGUGGCCUCACGUUUCACCUGUUUCCAAAAGAUCCGGAGCUGCGGAGCCUGUGGGAGUGGGCUGUUCGCCGUGAAAGGUGGCAUGCGAAAGAUGUAGAUCGCCUUUGCUGUGUGCAUUUCGCGCCGGAGUGCUUCGACCGCACCGGACAGACAACACGACUGCGUGCGGGUAGUGUUCCUUCUGUGUUCCCUGCGUUUCCGGAGCAUCUACAGAAGCCCGCGAGUAUGUUAGAACGUCGCGCGAUGUAUUUGUGGCGGUCUCGUUUUCGUUGAGAAGAAGUGACUGUGAUAAGCCGGAUAAAAAUCAACACUGUGUGCCCUGCCAGCUGCAAAAGCGAGAAAUGCGACUGAGUUUCUCGAGCUCAUUAGACCGCGGAUGUCGUUUUCAACUAAUGUCAUUAAAUUUACCAUUGUCACAGCUAAUGAAAGGCAUUACCUUUGAAUGACAUUCUAUGAAAAUUACACCAAAUUUGCCGUCUGGCAGGGUCGCCUCAGCUAAACUGUAACCAUGACAUUGGAUAGAGACCGCUAUUGCGCCUAGAUUUUGCACAGCUUCAAUUUUUUUUUUUCAUUUUCAUAGGAUAAAAAGUACGAAAACUGCUACUCAGAACCGUAGGCUGGAGAUGCGGCUCCAGUCUGCAAAUCUGUUCAGUAAGCGCGCGUCGGUGGUGACGUAAAGAGAUCUAAUUAAUAUGCAAGCUCAGAUGCUAAACAAAAUAAACAGGCUAAUGAUUUGAAAAGAUGCUUAAGCAAAAUUUGAAAAUACCAUACAUCCACCUUUAUGAAGCAGUAAGUUUUGGUAGCAAACGAGGCAUAGCUUUACAACUGCUCUUAUUUUUCUCUGACUUGAGACUCAUCAGAUGUACAUAUGGCGUCUAUUUCAGGUGAAAAGGAAGCGUCCAGGCCGCAAGCAUGAAGACUGGUUCCAGAAACUGGAGGACCACAUCCUUGAUCUUGAUCCACUUGAUAACUAUAUUUAUAUUUUGUGCAAAAAAUCGCUGAAGAAUAUAUAAAAGUGAGAAUACACCACAUGACGAAAGAACGAAACUGUGAACUGAUCAAAAACAAAGUGAGACCACUUUUGUCGAGGGUGAUUAUUUUCAAUCACCAGUAGGGUGUUUGUCAUGGUGUUCUUGACUGUAUAUGAGACUUUCUCCUUAAUAUCUGCUCAUUUGAACUUCCUUCUGCGUAUCAGUUGGCUGCUGGUUGAUGGUAAAUAAACGACUGCAACUAGAACCACACAUUUGCAUUCCUUUCUAAAUGGGAGCAGCUGCAUCAGCAAAGCGAAAAAGCGCGAGCGCAGCUGCAUUACGCUUUUCUCCUUAAUAUUUGUACAGUUACACUGCCUUUUACAUGCCAGUUUUCUGCUAGCUGAUGGAAAAUAAAUGGAUAUAACUAGAA